rnacentral:rRNA from 1 species
GAUGAACGCUGGCGGCGUGCUUAACACAUGCAAGUCGAACGAGAAAUGUAGACGGAAACCUUCGGGCGGAAGCCUUCAUUUCGAGUGGCGGACGGGUGAGUAACGCGUGGGUAACCUGCCUCAUACAGGGGGAUAACAGUUGGAAACGACUGUUAAUACCGCAUAAGACCACAGCAUCGCAUGAUGCGGGGGUAAAAACUCCGGUGGUAUGAGAUGGACCCGCGUUCGAUUAGCCAGUUGGCGGGGUAACGGCCCACCAAAGCGACGAUCGAUAGCCGAUCUGAGAGGAUGACCGGCCACAUUGGGACUGAGACACGGCCCAAACUCCUACGGGAGGCAGCAGUGGGGAAUAUUGCACAAUGGGGGAAACGCUGAUGCAGCGACGCCGCGUGAGUGAAGAAGUACUUCGGUAUGUAAAGCUCUAUCAGCAGGGAAGAAAAUGACGGUACCUGAGUAAGAAGCCCCGGCUAACUACGUG